UGCUCAGUUGGAUACAAGCCGCGCCCAGCAAGGCGCGGCGACCCAAGAGCAACGGCCUUCUAAGCCGUAGGUCACACGUUCGAAUCGUGUAGGGCGGGCCA
rnacentral:tRNA from 1 species